GCGGCUCCAUCCUCGGAUUCUCCGCGUCGCUGUCGUAGCGCACGAACGGCGUGUCAUCCACGUAGCCGACAGCGAUGAAACGGGGCUCCCCAAGGCCCGGCCGGGACAUGGCAGUGUAGAAAUACCGCAGCGAGUGUGAGCCUGGGGGCGGCGCGCGGUGAGACCUGAACCUCCUCCUGGGAACCCGGGCGGAUGCGCAGGCCAGAAGUCAGACCAUAGAGUCUUCUAGAAGAAAAGCCACUUCCGGGAACACAAUCACAACACAAGCAGUUUGGGAUGCAGUGGAGAGACGCUUCUCCUUUAAGAGGAGGCUCAGGUCUGCAAGCCCCACCCAGACCCCACAGAGACCAGGCUCUGUUCACCUGCAUGGGCAGCUCACACUGCCAAGCCUGAGUGCAGGACUCUGAUCUGUAAAGAGAUGACUUUGCCUCUUCCCUCAGGAUCUGUCUUCUCAACCUCGGGUUUAGACCCAGACUCCUUGUGUUUAUUCCCAGAAGAUGCAUCUGUGGCUCCCGGUGGGUGCGUUUUACAAGGAUCUUCAUUCUUAGUCCUGAGAGGUUUCCUGGGUAACAGCUGAGACCUCCCGACCUGAUUUGCAAGCAACAGGCUGAGACAUUGGGAAUAGUGAAACUCGGUUUUUAAAAAUUAUAUAUAUAAAUUAUAAUUUAUAUAAAAUUAUAUUAUAUAUAAUUCAUAAAGCACACUGUAGCUGUCUUCUGACACCGGAAAUGG
rnacentral:lncRNA from 1 species